UGGAAGUACUCCCAGUGACUCUAGCCUGGGAGCCGAGCCCGUCAUCUGAGCAACAGCAGGACCUUCUGCGCUCUUCGACACUUGGAAAAGAUUCAGUUUCCAAACCUCUUAAAUCUCAACUUGUUCUGCUUAGAUUGCCAGCAUGUCUGCCAGCACAACAUUAAAAUCCUUUUAGAAAUUAGUGAUGGACCAACAGCUUCUCUUUCCUGAUGUUUUUACUAAUAACCAGAAGAGAGAAGAAAAGCCAAGAGGAGUGCUGGCAGAUUUUGUAAACCCAGAUCAGUGGAAGAUCAAGCACACUGGGCAUCCAGUUAAUCUCAUGCAUUGGUAUGCAGUGAACAGGCAAAUCUGGAUCUGAUGCUGAAUGACUGCACACUUGUCUGACUAUGAACAGUUCUGCAAAAGCCACAAAAGGAAAUGGACUUACACUUGUGUUUGUCUGGGGCAAAUCUUGGUCAUUGCACAUGGUCACACCUGAAAGGCACAAACAGACCUAAGAACUGAUCUGUUAAGGCCUUGAACAUGAGGUAUUCCCUCACUGCAUAUCUGUGAAAUUCUCACCAUCAUGAGAUAUAUAGUAAUACCAUUUAUCUGCAAUCUGUGAAGAUGACUCUGCUCCCUGUAUUGUAAAUUAUGUCAAAACCAAAUUGAUUAUCUCUAAGAAAAAAAAAUAAAAACAAGACAGCAAAUAUUUUUUAGAGUUCA
rnacentral:lncRNA from 1 species